GAGGGAAGUGCCUGAUGUGCCUUACCUGAGAAAAUGGGGAUCUGCCCAUUCACUACAGCCUGAUUCUUCCAUGAGGGGCUGCAAGCUGGUUCCAGCAAAUGUGGAACUUAUGGUGACCUGUGCUGGUUUCCCAGUGGUUUGGAUCUACUAGAAGCUCCUGCCAGCCUAAUGCCAUGAAUGUUGAGGUGGACAAUGUGGAAGAGAAAGCUGUCCAUUCCUGGUCAAGGAUCUCCUCUGCAGGACAGAAAGCCUUGGAAGAAGCUCUCCGGGUAUUUAACCCCAUGUCCAAGGACCUGUCUGACACGGAGACCCAGCUGGUAGCUUUUCUCCAAGGCCUUAAGGAAGAAGGCUACCAGCCCACAAUCCUAAGGAGUAAAGACGUGUAUGGAUACAGUUCCUGCACAGCCAAUGCACCUGGCCAAACAAAAGGCAAUACUCAGGACAUUUCAGAAACAGCUGUCCCUAUUUCAGAGUCUGCCAAGGCUCCAGCAAGGAACAUGGUAACCGUGGAAAAAGUGUCUGCUCCCUUAGCAGGUAUUACAGUGAGCUCUUCUAAAGAUUCUGCUAAGCCAAUGUCAAAGAGCAGUAACUCCACAAACCUCCUGUUGAACUCAUUGAAACGGACACGUUCAGGUACGUCAAAAGCCUCAGCAAUGAGUUUCCCUGCUAAUAUGUACCCUGGUGUCUAUCCAGCCAUGAGGCUGUCGGUGGUCCUGGAAGCCUUAGUCCCACUGAAAGCUACUGCCUCUUGUCUGGAAUCAAAAUGCAAACAAGGGCACCUUGGGAUCUCUCCUUCAGACCUUAAGCGUCUCAAAGCAUCCACUGCAUCUAUACAGUCUUCAGCAGUUAAGGCUGCUAAGAUACCUGCUAGUCAGUUGGACCCCAAAGCAUAUAGGCAUUUAAUAACAAAAGUGCCAGACUCUGCUGCUCUCACAAUGAGCCUUAUAAAAGGACCAAAGGGUGGGGUGCUUCAGGAAAGCAAUGCGUGCAAAGCAUCUGGAAUCCUGAAUGGCCGAAUUUCUGGGAGCAACUCCCAGAGCUGUAGCACAGGGCCCCCCAGAAUUAAGGAACCAUCAGUGGCCAAAACUGAACAGAAAAGUGGUAGCAGCCACCAGGAGGCCAUUGGGCAGAAAAGAAAAAGACCAGAUGAAGGAAAGGAAUUACCAUGUAGAAAGACACCCAGUUCUGUUCCGUCACCUAAUAAACCAGAACUGGCUUCAGAAACAUUAAACCUGCUGAAAUUUCAGGCCAUCAAAGUGGACAGCUCUUCAGACGAUGAAUUGAGGCGGAGAGCACAAAAGAUCCUUAGAGUUAAUCUGUCCCCUGUGAUCAGAAUCCAGCCAUUGCCUCAUUCUCUCAGCAUCCCUUGAUCAUUCAGUUGAGUUGGAGCUCCAGGGCCACCGCAUGAGGAUGAUCAGAUCAACAUCACGUCUCUUGGACCUGGUGACAACAUGCAUGCCUGAACUCCUCAGGCAGCUGAUCCUCAGGUCCUGGUUGGCAACUGGGGGAAAUUCUGCAGAGCUGAGCAACAAUUGGAUUAUAAAACCAUGUUUAGAAAUACUGGAGGAGAUCUUUAAGGCCCUGUUGAGAGGAAUGCAGAACAGUGCUGGCUUUCUUCUGGGACACUUUUCUACAGUGCUUUUGUAAAUGUGGCAGAGUGCACAUCUGGGAUGUGGCAGCACUUGGACUAUUACUGUGCUUCAGCCAUUCCUUUGCACACACUCAUGCGAUCCGGGAUUCAGUCUCCCAUAUUCUAAUUCUAAAAAGAUCUUAGGAUGGAAAAAAAGAAAGAAAUGUUUUGCUUGAAACUGCAGAGACCCAUUCCUGGAACAGACUGUGGAGGUAGAUAGAUCAGCA